CUUCUAAAUAACUAAACACCUGAAGGAGAAAAUUACCAGUAGUUUAAAAUUUAAAUCAUCAAGGCUAUAAAUUAAUGGAUGACUGUUACUUUUUUUCACCUUUUAGCUGUGAUCAGCGGUAAUCCAGAAAUGAUGUUAUUAGUGUUGGUAUCAUCUUUAUUGUUGUUGUUUUUAUUAUUGUAACACAUCAUCAUCAUCAUGUGGAUCAGCCUCAGUUUGUAAAAACGUGUCAGAGUGAGACAUCACGACUCCUUCACGCCUCUGUGUAGCAGCUGUGGUGCGCAUGCGCAGAGUGAGCCGUCCCCGCGCGGACAGGAUCUGUGAGCUCCUCCAUCUCUGCCGUCAGUCGGUGUUUUGCAGCCGCAGCCGGAGCUUUCAGCCAUUUUAGCAGCUGCUUCUUUCACAUCUGCUUUCACCCCCUCUUGCAUUUAAACCCGGGUCCGAUUCUGGUCCCGGGUCGGAGUCCGGCUUUAGUGUGACCCGGGUUAUCUCUGCUGCACAUGUGAUGCCGACAGCUUCUGGACAUCCAGCGGACAACGAACCGUGAAGCAUCAUGGGAGGUGGCAGAUGGACGCCGUGGGCUGACAAGAGCCUGUGACACACACACACACACACACACACACACACACACACACACACACACACACACCAUGGAACAAGGCUUCAGCUUAAAUACACUGAAGAAGCUGGCGGCAGAGCCCGACUACACGGACGUGUCGCGACGGCAGCGGAGCGUGUGCGGGCGCUGGGAAAGAUGGG